CCUACGGGUGGCUGCAGUGAGGAAUAUUGGUCAAUGGCCGAAAGUCUGAACCAGCCAAGUCGCGUGAAGGACGACUGCCCUAUGGGUUGUCAACCUCUUUUAUAUGGGAAUAAAAAGUUCCACGUGUGGCAUUAUGUAUGUACCAUAUGAAUAAGCAUCGGCUAACUCCGUGCCAGCAGCCGCGGUAAUACGGAGGAUGCGAGCGUUAUCCGGAUGUAUUGGGUUUAAAGGGUGAGUAGGUGGUUGUUUACGUAGGUGGUAAACUUUCGGGGCUUAACGGAGAAGUUCCGUUUAUACUGGAAGACUUGAGGACAGACGAGGUAGGCGGAAUAAGUUAAGUAGCGGUGAAAUGCUUAGAUAUCACUUAGAACUCCGAUUGAGAAGGCAGCUCACUAGACGGCAACUGAUACUGAAGCACGAAAGCGUGGGUAGCAAACAGGAUUAGAUACCCCAGUAGUC
rnacentral:rRNA from 1 species